AUUGAACGCUGGCGGCAGGCCUAACACGUGCAAGUCGGACGGUAGCACAGAGAGCUUGCUCUUGGGUGACGAGUGGCGGACGGGUGAGUAAUGUCUGGGGAUCUGCCCGAUAGGGGGGGAUAACCACUGGAAACGGUGGCUAAUACCGCAUAACGUCGCAAGACCAAAGAGGGGGACCUUCGGGCCUCUCACUAUCGGAUGAACCCAGAUGGGAUUAGCUAGUAGGCGGGGUAAUGGCCCACCUAGGCGACGAUCCCUAGCGGGUCUGAGAGGAUGACCAGCCACACUGGAACUGAGACACGGUCCAGACUCCUACGGGAGGCAGCAGUGGGGAAUAUUGCACAAUGGGCGCAAGCCUGAUGCAGCCAUGCCGCGUGUAUGAAGAAGGCCUUCGGGUUGUAAAGUACUUUCAGCGGGGAGGAAGGCGGUGCGGUUAAUAACCGUACCGAUUGACGUUACCCGCAGAAGAAGCACCGGCUAACUCCGUGCCAGCCGCCGCCGUAA
rnacentral:rRNA from 1 species